rnacentral:rRNA from 1 species
AGAUUGAACGCUAGCGGGAUGCUUUACACAUGCAAGUCGAACGGCAGCGCGGACUUCGGUCUGGCGGCGAGUGGCGAACGGGUGAGUAAUAUAUCGGAACGUGCCCAGUAGCGGGGGAUAACUACGCGAAAGCGUGGCUAAUACCGCAUACGCCCUACGGGGGAAAGGGGGGGAUUCUUCGGAACCUCUCACUAUUGGAGCGGCCGAUAUCAGAUUAGCUAGUUGGUGAGGUAAAGGCUCACCAAGGCGACGAUCUGUAGCUGGUUUGAGAGGACGACCAGCCACACUGGGACUGAGACACGGCCCAGACUCCUACGGGAGGCAGCAGUGGGAAUUUGGACAAGUGGGGGAAACCUGAU